UACGUAGGGGGCAAGCGUUGUCCGGAAUUAUUGGGCGUAAAGAGCGCGUAGGCGGCUCGGUAAGUCCGCUGUGAAAGUCGGGGGCUCAACCCUCGGAUGCCGGUGGAUACUGUCGGGCUAGAGUACGGAAGAGGCGAGUGGAAUUCCUGGUGUAGCGGUGAAAUGCGCAGAUAUCAGGAGGAACACCAAUGGCGAAGGCAGCUCGCUGGAACGGUACUGACGCUGAGGCGCGAAAGCGUGGGGAGCAAACAGG
rnacentral:rRNA from 1 species